AUAUUAGUUUUUCAUGUUGUGUUUGCAGUGAUUAAUUAUGGAUAUUUUUAUGGGAGACUCCAGUUUUGAUACAGUUAAAACAAUAUAAGUCUUUAUGACAUGUUUGAAUAUAUUAUAUAUUUUUACUUUUGCUUAAAGGCACCUGAUGAUCGAGGAAAACUGCCAGCUUGAGAAAAAAGCCAUUUCGAUUCUUGAGGAAAAUUUCAAAUCUACAAGAGGAGUUGACUUAUAUAGUAAAAAAGCCAAAGAUACUGAAGAAAGAGUGCAAAGAACCACUGUUUAUUACCAAGGAAGGGUUAUUCAUUAUAAGAAAAAAGCUCACCAUAAUUG